ACACAGAAGGACUAACCUUUUUCUAGCCUGCCAGUGAGAACCAUCAGCAUAUAUUGAUGAGGAAACUGAGGCUUAGGAACACCAAGCGACCGGCUCACGGUGGCCUGGCCCCAGGGACCAGGCUAGGACCCACUAGACCCCAGAAGCCCGGGCAGAUGCUAACGGUGGUGUCAUCGGCGCUCGUGCCACGCUCAGGAUUAGGUCGUCGGGGUGAUGCCAGUCACUCCUCUGGGCAAAGGAAAUGCCACGAGUCACUGGGAAAGAAGCCACUUCCUGUCCCUGCAGAACGAAAACAGCCCCGUCAAGGUCCUCGCCAUCCCUGGGUCCAGCCUCUAAGCUAAAUGACUUAUCCUUGAACUGACAGAUGACGAGUUAGUCACCUCGGCUCUGCGCCUCUCCCUGUUCCUGUAAGCAGCCUAGUCUCGUGGGUGGUUAGGGCACAACCUCAGAGCAUCGCCAGGCACGGUGUACAAGGCUGGAGCUGUCGCCUCCCAGCUCCCAACAGGCAGAGCACCUGCCCAGCCGCUGUGUUGCUCAUGGCAGCUUCAGCUGCUCCUCCUUGGAGCUGCCAUCAGCGCGAAAGGUGCUAGCUCACCUGGGGGACUGUCCCCCCACCAUGGGACCGCUCACAGCCAGUAACCAACUGAGCAGCUCAGGGUGUGAAGGGACAGCCCCUCUGCCUCCAGGUGACACUGUGGUGCCAUGGGUGGCUCCGAGGUUCCAGCGGGAUAGGGAGGAAGGUGGACCACAGCUAAGACAACCUCGGCUUAAACCCCUCCCUGUCCUGUCCGGCUGCCCUGCCCCACCUCGCCCGGCUAAAUCCCGGGCAUCCAAAUCUACCUCCCUACUUCUGCUUCUAGAGACCCACUAUGUGCCAAAGCAGCAGGUCCUUGAACUUGAGGAGAAAGAAACUGGAGGAAACUGGAGUUACAUAAACCCACACACAAUGAGAUAAGAAUUGUAACAACACCUGCCUUCCUUUUUACCGCCUUUCUUCUAUUACAGUACUUACAUGUGCCGAGUCCUACGCUGAACGCUACUCAGGCAUGGUUCUAUUUGAUUCAGAGAGCAGACUCACAUGGUGGGCACUCCAGUACUCCUCUUUCAGAGUCAAGAAAAGUGAUGUUCAGAAGGGUUAAUUAACUGGUCUGGGGUCACACAGCCAGCUCAGACCUCUCAGACUCUCCCAGGCUUCCUGGGCUCUGUUUAUAUA
ensembl:lncRNA